UACGGAGGGUGCAAGCGUUAAUCGGAUUUACUGGGCGUAAAGCGCACGUAGGUGGUUUGUUAAGUCGGGUGUGAAAUCUCCGGGCUCAACCCGGAGGGUGCGCCCGAAACUGGUCCGCUCGAGGAUGGGAGGGGAGACUGGAAUUCUCGGUGUAGCAGUGAAAUGCGUAGAUAUCGAGAGGAACACCCGUGGCGAAGGCGAGUCUCUGGACCAUUCCUGACACUGAGGCACGAAAGCCGGGGGAGCAAACAGGAUUAGAAACCCUAGUAGU
rnacentral:rRNA from 1 species